GGACUCGCACAAGCGGUGGAGCAUGUGGUUUAAUUCGACGCAACGCGAAAAACCUUACCAGGCCUUGACAUCCCUUUGACCGGUGUAGAAAUACGCCUUUUCCCUUCGGGGGACAGAGGAGACAGGUGGUGCAUGGUUGUCGUCAGCUCGUGUCGUGAGAUGUUGGGUUAAGUCCCGCAACGAGCGCAACCCUUAUCAUUAGUUGCUAACAUUAAGUUGAGAACUCUAAUGAGACUGCCAGCGACAAGUUGGAGGAAGGUGGGGAUGACGUCAAAUCAUCAUGCCCCUUAUGGCCUGGGCUACACACGUGCUACAAUGGCCGGUACAAAGAGUGGCGAAACCGCGAGGUGGAGCAAAUCUCAAAAAACCGGUCUCAGUUCAGAUUGUAGUCUGCAACUCGACUACAUGAAGUCGGAAUCGCUAGUAAUCGUAAAUCAGCAUGUUACGGUGAAUACGUUCUCGAGUCUU
rnacentral:rRNA from 1 species